AGCGAACGCUGGCGGCAGGCCUAACACAUGCAAGUCGAACGAACUCUUCGGAGUUAGUGGCGGACGGGUGAGUAACACGUGGGAACGUGCCUUUAGGUUCGGAAUAACUCAGGGAAACUUGUGCUAAUACCGAAUGUGCCCUUCGGGGGAAAGAUGUAUCGCCUUUAGAGCGGCCCGCGUCUGAUUAGCUAGUUGGUGAGGUAAAGGCUCACCAAGGCGACGAUCAGUAGCUGGUCUGAGAGGAUGAUCAGCCACAUUGGGACUGAGACACGGCCCAAACUCCUACGGGAGGCAGCAGUGGGGAAUCUUGCGCGAUGGGCGAAAGACUGACGCAGCCAUGCCGCGUGAAUGAUGAAGGUCUCAGGAUUGUAAAAUUCUUUCACCGGGGACGAUAAUGACGGUACCCGGAGAAGAAGCCCCGGCUAACUUCGUG
rnacentral:rRNA from 1 species